AAGACAUUAAGAAAUACUAUGACAACAUCUUCCCAAAAAAGCCAAAAAGUAAUAACUGUGAUUAAUGGCGAGUUAAGAGAAAUCAGAGAACAUAAUUCAUGUUGAAACGUUUGGAAUUUUAACUUCUCAAACUUCAGCUCUGGUUUUUGACCAGCACUCAGAACUGCUCUCAGGAGUCAUCCACGUGCUCAGUGGUUGCUGCUCUCUUCAGAGAUUAUAAUCUCCUUCAAGCAGAGACUCAUCUUCUUGCACAACUCUGAAUGCCACUGAAGUCAGAAACUGCACAGCCAUCAACACCGAGAUAAUGCAGAAGAUCCUAAUGAAUUUUGCAAUUCUGUAUAUGAAAGAACAGCUAGGAGGGCCAUGAUCUGCCCCUUUGCCAGCCAUGGGAGUUAAAUGUAGAGAAGACAGCCUCGGGCAUGGAUCUGCAGUCACUGCCAGUGAUCAUUUAAGUACACUAUUCUCACACAGAAGAAGCAGCAGAGAGAAACAGAUUGUGACUGGGCUUUUCUCAGAACCAGGUCUAAUUCACACAGAAAGAUCGUGUGGACCAGAACUACCCAUGCUGGCCAUGAAAUUGAUGUCCUUCAACUGAUGCCCAAGCAGUCUUAAGUGAUGUCAAGCUGCUUGAAGAUUCCUCCUUGUGAUCCUACACUCAUGCAGCCUAUUCUCUGGAGAAGAGUGCUCAGCUUGGG
rnacentral:lncRNA from 1 species